rnacentral:rRNA from 1 species
UCAGACGAUGCGUCAUGCAUAUCAAUAAGCGGAGGAAAAGAAACUAACAAGGAUUCCCCUAGUAACGGCGAGUGAAGCGGGAAGAGCUCAAAUUUGAAAUCUUAAAGGGUUUCCCUUUACGAAUUGUAGUUUAAAGAAGUGUUUUCUGUUGAGGUUUUGGUAAAAGUUCUUUGGAAUAGGACAUCAUAGAGGGUGAGAAUCCCGUAUUUGACCUUUACUUUCAACUUUGUGAUACACUUUCAAAGAGUCGGAUUGUUUGGGAAUGCAGUCCAAAAUGGGUGGUAAAUUUCAUCUAAAGCUAAAUAUUGGCGAGAGACCGAUAGCGAACAAGUACCGUGAGGGAAAGAUGAAAAGAACUUUGAAAAGAGAGUUAAACAGUACGUGAAAUUGUCAAAAGGGAAGCGUUUGACACCAGUGUUGUUUUUCUGAAAAUCAAUUAAAGAACUGUUUAUGCUAAGCUGUUUAGACUUUAUCAGCUAUCUGUUUAGUUUUGAGCUUUUCUUUAAUGCACUUUUCAGUUAACAAGUCAACAUCAAUUUCUUUUGCUGUAAAAAAGCUUGAGGAAGGUGGCUUGAGAUUCGUCUUAAGUGUUUAUAGCCUCUUGCCUAUGCAGUCGGAGAGAUUGAGGUCUGCAGCGUAGAUCCUUCGGGGCUAAAUGCAUUUGUGCUAAGUUAUAGCAUUUCAUAGACAACUUGUUGACUAUGAUUUGUCUUGUAGCUUACUCGCUUAUGUUAUUUUACCUACGCUUAGGAUGUUGAAUCUGUGCGAGACUAC